CCUACGGUAGGCAGCAGUGAGGAAUAUUGGUCAAUGGCCGGAAGGCUGAACCAGCCAUGCCGCGUGACGGUCAGUGCCCUAUGGGCGUUAAACUUCUUUUGUGCGGGAGCAAUAAUGGUCACGUGUGGCCAGACGAGAGUACCGUACGAAUAAGCAUCCGCUAACUCCGUUCCAGCAGCCGCGGUAAUACGGGGGAUGCAAGCGUUAUCCGGAUUUAUUGGGUUUAAAGGGUGCGUAGGCUGUGAGGUAAGUCAGCGGUGAAAUGCCCCCGCUCAACGGGGUGAAGUGCCAUUGAUACUGCCUUGCUGGAAUGCGGAUGACGUGGGAGGAAUGUGUGGUGUAGCGGUGAAAUGCAUAGAUAUCACACAGAACACCGAUUGCGAAGGCAUCUCACGAAUCCGCGAUUGACGCUGAUGCACGAAAGCGUGGGUAUCAAACAGGAUUAGAGACCCCUGUAGUC
rnacentral:rRNA from 1 species